CUUCUGCCUCUUGCCGCCUUCUCUCCAGAUUCUCGCUCAGCACAGAACACUCGCUCUGGAGCAUGGAAGGAGGAGAGGUUAGCCAAGGACACGAGGGGACAGCCUGUGGAAAAGAAGAUCUGGGCCUGGGAAGGUUCCUUUUCUUUCUGAGCCUCAAGCUCCCCAACUGAGCUAUGGGUGCAUUCUGCUGGAGGCAGGCUCCAAGAAGGGAACUUGGCCCUGGAGGAAGGGCAGGUGUUGGAUAUAGGGGGUCCUCACACCUGCAGAGACUGCACGUGCUGGUUAACCCGGUUGGUCUUUUCCUUCAAGCUGGUGAUGGAGUCUUUGGCGCGGACCAAUCCACUGUUGACCCCACUCUGGGGAAGAAUGGGAGACAGCCUACAUCAUUACUUAGACUGUGCAGAAUUAUAGUCAAUUUCUGAGUCAUCCCUUAUAGGAAAAGAGUGAGAACUUUCCCUUUUUCUCUCAUUUCACUGGAAUGCACAAUUGAGGGCUGUCUUGGACCAGCAGAUAGAGGACACAAUGAAACAGAAGAAGCCUGAAUCCUUGACAUGGAGCCACCAUACUCCAUUCCAACCACCUGUGAAGACUUUCAGGGGAACGAUAGCCUCAAUGUCAUAAGCAGCCACCUAUGAAGAGGCCCAUGUAGCAAGGAAUUGAGGCCUCCAGCCAAGGGCAGGUGAGUGCCCCAUUUUGGUAGCACAACCUCUGGCCCCAGUCCAACCUUCAGGUGACUGCAGCCCCAGCCAAAAUCUUGUUUGCAACCUCGUGAGACGCCCUGAGCCAGGCCCACCCAGCUGAGCCCCUCCAAGUUUGUUGUUUGAAGUUUUGGUGUAAUUGGUUUCACAGCAAUAGAAAGCAUUACACAAAGUGUCUUUCUAACCUGAAGACUCAGAAGGUCUUGGGUUUCCUGUGGGUAAUUGUUCUGGAAACCAAGGCAACAGGACCUAGGGCCAACUAAUUUCUCCCAGUUACUAGCCGUAUGACCUCAUGGAGAGGACUUCACCUCUCUGUGCCUCUGCUUCCCUACCUGUGAAAUGGAGAUAUAACUAACAACUACCUUCACAGGGUUCCCAUUGUCCUUCCUCCUACCUGGAAACUGACACUCUCUCAACCAGGGUCUCCAUCACCGCCUGGUUCUCUGUCCCCCUCUUUCCAGUUCUCUGUCCCCACCCAGCCCCUGUGUCUGUUCCUUCUCUCUCUGGGUCUCUAUCCCCCUCCUCUAUUUCUGGUCUUCUGUCUCACCCUGAUUCAGCUCUGUCCCCCAAAUCUCAGAGUCUCUGACUUAUUUUUCCUGAGUCUCUGCCUUUCUACUCUUUAGGUCUCUGUCUUCUUUUUUUUUUUUUUUUUUUGAGAUAGAGUCUCACUCUGUCACCAGGCUGGAGUGCAGUGGCACGAUCUCGGCUCUCUGCAACCUCCACCUCCCGAGUUCAAGCGAUUCUCCUGCCUCAGCCUCCCGAGUAGCUGGGAUUACAGGCAUGUGCCCCCCUCUGUCUCUGGGUCUCUGUCCUCCUCUCUCUCUGGGUCUCUGUCCUCCUCUCUCUUGGUCUCUGUCCCCCACUCUCUGGGUCUCUGUCCCCCUCUCCCUGGUCUCCCUUCCCCUCUCUCUGGGUCUCUGUUCCCCUCUCUCUCUCUGGGUCUCUGUCUCCCUCUCUCUCUGGGUCUCUGUGUCCUUCUCUCUGCCUGUCCCCGCCUUCUCUCUGGAUGCAGCUCAGGUGCUGGGUGCUGGUUCCAGCUCCUGCUGCCCCCCUCACCUCUCCAGCAGGCACCCCAAGGUCAUUACUUUUUCCAUUUCACAGAGAAGGAACUUGAAGCCCGUUAGAGGCCGACACUCCCCUGCAGCCCCACAGCGAGCUGGCAGCUGUGUCAGACCUUGAUCCUGGCUGCCUGGGGUACUUUCUCAGGCUUCACGAUCCAGUGGGGGAUGUGACUCAGAAAUAGCUCUGGUGGGAGGCAAACGGCUGCAAGUGCUGCCUGAGGGACACUCCCCAAGACAGGGCGGAGAGCUCUUCUGUCUGAGGGAGGAGAUGUCUCCCAGACAUCCUUCCCAGCCCAGACUCUUUGCCCUGUUCUCUGCAGCUCCUCCUCCUUCCCUGGACCCUCGCCCAGGCUCCCCUCUGGCCUCCCUGCCUCAGUCUCUCCCCUCCAAACAUCCCCCACUCAGCCCAAGGGAGUCUUGGGGAGAGAAAGCCCUUUUGCAUUAGUGACAAAAGCAGCAGCCUUCUUGUCUUGGUCCUGCUUCUUACAACCCCUCCAACCUUGACCUUGUGGAGGUUACUACACCACUGUCUACCUUAGUUGUUUCUUUUUUUUUUUUGAGACGGAGUUUUGCUCUUGUUGCCCAGGCUGGAGUGCAAUGGCACGAUUUCGGUUCACUGCAACCUCUGCCUCCCAGGUUCAAGC
rnacentral:lncRNA from 1 species